rnacentral:rRNA from 1 species
CCUACGGGGGGCUGCAGUGAGGAAUAUUGGUCAAUGGACGGAAGCCUGAACCAGCCAUGCCGCGUGAAGGAAGACGGUUCUAUGAGUUGUAAACUUCUUUUGUACGAGAGCAAAGCCGAAGACGUGUACUCGGCUGAAAGUACCUGACGAAAAAGGAUCGGCUAAAUCCGUGCCAACCGCCGCGGUAAUACGGAGGAUCCCAGCGUUAACCGGAUUUGUUGGGUUUAAAGGGUGGGUAGGCGGUCUGAUAAGGUAGGGGUGAAAUGUCCGGGCUUAAAUCGGGAACUGCCUUUGAUACUGUUGAUCUGGAGUGGGGGAGCGGUAGGCGGAAUGUAUGGUGUAGCGGUGAAAUGCUUAGAGAUCACACAGAACACCGAUUGCGAAGGCAGCUUAC